UUUUCCUCCUCCGUGAAAAGAUAUUCCUCUUCCGUAAUCUGCAAAUAAAAUACCAAAAACCAAUAUAAUUUCAGCUAAAUCACGUUUAACAAAAAAAAAGAGGAAGAAUUUGAAAUUAUAUUCCCUAAUCCCACGUUGAAACCGCUCCCACCUAUCCCACAAAUCUCUCCAACUUCUCAACCAAAUCUUCUUCCUCUAAAUUUCUGCUCCUCUAUAAUAAUUGCUGCAUCAAUUCGUUCCUCCCAUCCCUGCAGCAAACAGAGGAAAGUCUUCAAAUUCCUACUCAAGAGACCGAGAACCCAACUCGACGGAGGGGGAAACUACCGUUCAUUCGCUCACAAUUUGCUCAAAAUCCGUUCAAGGUGAGACUUCGCAAGGGAAUCGAGAUACCAAAGGGAAGGAAGUGUAGAGAAUUAAUCAAUUGAGGUGGA